GCUGGGCUUGGGGUCUGAAGAGAACCACGGGGAGGAGAGGUAGAGAGAGGAGGAGAUGCCAUGGGUUAGCUCUGGCUCUCUCCAUCCACCCGCUCCUGUCAGAGCAUCCUUCCCCUGGGAGAUCAAGGACCUGCCAAGGAAGACCAUGCAUGGAAGCCAACUUUACACGGGAGGAAAUGCAGCCCGACACAUCCGAAAAAAGCUAACUCCCAUGAGUACCUGGAUCCAGCGCUACCCGAGGCUAGCCGUUCCUUCCUAUCCUCCGAUUCUGAGAAAAUAAUCUUCUGGCCGUGCAUAGAGUGGGGAACCCAUGCUCCUACCUGGUCCCCUAACCCCUCCUGUUGUGAUAGCCCAACCCAGGACUUAGUACGAACAGUUCUCUGUAGACAGUGAGCCAUCUGGCUCGCUGGUUCUCCUUCAUCCCCACUGGUCCCCCACCUGCCAGCUGUGCUAUUGGCCACUCCGUGGUGAUGUAUAUUUAACAAGGGCUCAGAAUCAAAUUAAUUCAGAUUAGUUAAUAAACGGCAACCUCCAUCUUCCUCUCGGGCAAGCU
rnacentral:lncRNA from 1 species